rnacentral:rRNA from 1 species
AUUAUUUCAUUUAUAAAUUUUUAUAAAUUUACUUUUAAAUCCAUUUUCAUUUAUAAAUUAAAUUAUAUGUUAAAAUUCAAAUAUUUAAUUAAUUGUAACUCAUUAAACCUCUUAAUUAUUCUACAUUUUGAUUUGAAUUAUAAUUUUUAUUAAAUUUAUUAAUAAUUAUCUAUUAAUAUAAUUUUUCAACAACAAUACAUAAAAUUACUUUAAAUUAAGUCCUUCCAUUCGUGGAUUAUCAAUUUAAUAAACAAGUUCCUCUAAAUAUUAAAUACCGCCAAAUUUUUUAUUUUUAAUGCUUUAAACAUUUAAUAUUUAAUUAAAUUUAAAUUUAAUAAAAAUAAUAGGGUAUCUAAUCCUAGUUU